CAGUCGCCACGGUAAUACGUAGGGGGCAAGCGUUAUCCGGAAUUACUGGGUGUAAAGGGAGCGUAGACGGUUAAACAAGUCUGAAGUGAAAUGCCGGGGCUCAACCCCGGAGCUGCUUUGGGAACUGUAGAACUGGAGUGUCGGAGGGGUAAGCGGAAUUCCCAGUGUAGCGGUGAAAUGCGUAGAUAUUGGGAGGAACACCGGCGGCGAAGGCGGCUUACUGGACGACAACUGACGUUGAGGCUCGAAGGCGUGGGUAGCAAACAGGAUUAGAUACCCCGGUAGUCCCUGUCUCUUAUAC
rnacentral:rRNA from 1 species